rnacentral:rRNA from 1 species
GACGAACGCUGGCGGCGUGCUUAACACAUGCAAGUCGAACGGAAAGGCCCUGCUUUUGUGGGGUGCUCGAGUGGCGAACGGGUGAGUAACACGUGAGUAACCUGCCCUUGACUUUGGGAUAACUUCAGGAAAAUGGGGCUAAUACCGGAUAGGAGCUCCUGCUGCAUGGGGGGGGUUGGAAAGUUUCGGCGGUUUGGGAUGGAUUCGCGGCUUAUCAGCUUGUUGGUGGGGUAGUGGCUUACCAAGGCUGUGACGGGUAGCCGGCCUGAGAGGGUGACCGGCCACAUGGGGACUGAGAUACGGCCCAGACUCCUACGGGAGGCAGCAGUGGGGAAUAUUGCACAAUGGGCGGAAGCCUGAUGCAGCAACGCCGCGUGCGGGAUGACGGCCUUCGGGUUGUAAACCGCUUUCGCCUGUGACGAAGCGUGAGUGACGGUAAUGGGUAAAGAAGCACCGGCUAACUACGUG